GCAGGCUAUAAGCCGGCUGUAACCAUAUAUCGAGAAGAAAAGAGAUGAGAGAAGAAAGCGGGCUACAGAUUUAUAGCCGGCUGUAACACGGACUCCAAGAUAUUAUGUGUGUAUGAGAGGUGGGACCGUAUAUUAAUCGUGUAGUAUAUUUUUAUAGUUAACUAUUGUAUGAAUGGGCUAUUAGAUUGGCUAUAGAUGUUUUGGAGCCAAUAGUUAGCUAUACUAUUGACCUUGCUCUUAGAGCAAGUUAAAUAGUAUAGCCAAUUGGUAGCUCCAAAUCAUCUGUAGCCAAUGUAAUAGCCAAUUCAUUCAAUAGUUGCUUACUAUACCAUUCAUAUCUGGCCCCAUUUGUCAUACACACAUUACGUCUUGGAGUCCGUGCUGCAGCUGGCCAUAGAUCUGUAGCCCGCUGCUCUUCUCUCUCUUCUUUUAUCUCUUUAAAAUAUGUUUAUAGCUGGCUUAUAGUUGUC
rnacentral:misc_RNA from 1 species